AGCGAACGCUGGCGGCAGGCCUAACACAUGCCAGUCGAACGAACCUUUCGGGGUUAGUGGCGGACGGGUGAGUAACACGUGGGAACGUGCCUUUAGGUUCGGCAUAACUCAGGGAAACUUGUGCUAAUACCGAAUGUGCCCUUCGGGGGAAAGAUUUAUCGCCUUUAGAGCGGCCCGCGUCUGAUUAGCUAGUUGGUUGAGGUAAUGGCUCACCAAGGCGACGAUCAGUAGCUGGUCUGAGAGGAUGAUCAGACACAUUGGGACUGAGACACGGCCCAAACUCCUACGGGAGGCAGCAGUGGGGAAUCUCGCGCAAUGGGCGAAAGCCUGACGCAGCCAUGCCGCGUGAAUGAUGAAGGUCUUAGGAUUGUAAAAUUCUUUCACCGGGGACGAUAAUGACGGUACCCGGAGAAGAAGCCCCGGCUAACUUCGUG
rnacentral:rRNA from 1 species